GAGUUUGAUCGUGGCUCAGGAUGAACGCUGGCGGCGUGCCUAAUACAUGCAAGUCGAGCGAACGGACGAGAAGCUUGCCUCUCUGAUGUUAGCGGCGGACGGGUGAGUAACACGUGGAUAACCUACCUAUAAGACUGGGAUAACUUCGGGAAACCGGAGCUAAUACCGGAUAAUAUUUUGAACCGCAUGGUUCAAAAGUGAAAGACGGUCUUGCUGUCACUUAUAGAUGGAUCCGCGCUGCAUUAGCUAGUUGGUAAGGUAACGGCUUACCAAGGCAACGAUGCAUAGCCGACCUGAGAGGGUGAUCGGCCACACUGGAACUGAGACACGGUCCAGACUCCUACGGGAGGCAGCAGUAGGGAAUCUUCCGCAAUGGGCGAAAGCCUGACGGAGCAACGCCGCGUGAGUGAUGAAGGUCUUCGGAUCGUAAAACUCUGUUAUUAGGGAAGAACAUAUGUGUAAGUAACUGUGCACAUCUUGACGGUACCUAAUCAGAAGGCCACGGCUAACUACGUCG
rnacentral:rRNA from 1 species